CUCCACCUCAUGUUUGUUUAGAAAGGACAGUUCGAGGUCAGGAAGGCGCACAGUUAUCCUCUCUCGGAGUACAUCUUACCUCAGGAAAAAGGCCUCCUUGGAGAAGUCUAUUUUUUCUUGAGAAAACUCCAAAGAGGAUCGAAAUGCCUCAACUGUUGACCUGCUGGCAUCGGAAAGCUUCUCAUUGAACUCUUGAUGCCUCUCCUUCUCCACCAGCAGGCCUACUUUAACUUUUGACCCCCACCCUUCUUGCCUCGACCACGGCCUUCACCACCUCGACCACCACC
rnacentral:lncRNA from 1 species